rnacentral:sRNA from 1 species
AUAAUGGAUCAGAAUUCCGGGUUCGAAGCCCGCAAGCAGUAAAAUCCUUUUGAUGUUUUUUAUACUGUAUC